AUCACAGCCAGUGGGCGUGUCUCCGCUCUGUCAAUCAUGCGGGUACGAGCUGCGCAGCGCUGCAGAACCUGUGCACAGCCUCACUCGCUGGGCCACGACCGAGCUCACGUCUUCGCAACGAGGAGCUCGCAGCAGAAGCGGCGUUAGUUUGGAAACACCGCUACAGAGAAACGCCAAGCAGCGAAAAAACUGCCCGGCUCCUUUGCCAGAAACUGCAUAUACGACAAAGACCGCGAGCAAGAAACGAGCUAAAAAGUAGGAAGCAGAUCGAGCAGAUGUAAACGUCGGAGCGGCUCCACAGAAGCGACGACACCGACGGGGUUCACAAACGAUGCGUUCUGCUUGACCGGUCCUCGGGUGUCGGGCCACACGCCGACCUCUGCCCCGUCUCCCACGGUCGCUGCCCGGUGCACCCCGUAGGCGACUCCCUCUUCUCCUCGCUCGACUGCUCGUCGAAGCAGCCGUGUUCACUCCCUCAUCGGAGUCCAGGGAUAAAGUCCCUCGGAGCUCUACCCAGAAAGACAGCUCCUUGUGGAGAGAUAAACAGAGGGAACCGUCCAACUGAGGUCGCAGAUAAAUGCCAAGGCGGUGUGCCAGCAGGCCUCCACUGUGGGGUGGAUGCUGGUUCAGGCUCCAAUCUCAGUGAGAACUUAUCUUAAAAUGCAUCAACUUAGCUCUGUGUUCAUCAUGCUGUAAUCACUUGAGUUAUUAAGUGCUUCAUUAAAAAAACUUAGCAUGGCAAAAAAUACACAAACUGUACUGUAAUUAAAUGUUCCCUUUUUUCCCCCCACAUCAAUGGUAAUGCUACUGCUUGUAUUCAAUGUCAUUCAUUAUUGUUCAUUCC
rnacentral:lncRNA from 1 species